rfam:Triticum aestivum genome assembly, contig: Triticum_aestivum_CS42_TGACv1_scaffold_472784_6AL
GUUCUACUCCCUCUGUUCCGAAUUACUUGUCUUGGAUUUGUCUAGAUACGGAUGUAUCUAGACUCAUUUUAGUGCUAGAUACCUCCGUAUCUAAAAAAAUCUAAGACAAGUAAUUCGGAACGGAGGGAGUAUUUU